rnacentral:rRNA from 1 species
AACGAACGCUGGCGGCAGGCUUAACACAUGCAAGUCGAACGCCCCGCAAGGGGAGUGGCAGACGGGUGAGUAACGCGUGGGAAUCUACCCAUCUCUACGGAAUAACUCAGGGAAACUUGUGCUAAUACCGUAUACGCCCUUCGGGGGAAAGAUUUAUCGGAGAUGGAUGAGCCCGCGUUGGAUUAGCUAGUUGGUGGGGUAAAGGCCUACCAAGGCGACGAUCCAUAGCUGGUCUGAGAGGAUGAUCAGCCACAUUGGGACUGAGACACGGCCCAAACUCCUACGGGAGGCAGCAGUGGGGAAUAUUGGACAAUGGGCGCAAGCCUGAUCCAGCCAUGCCGCGUGAGUGAUGAAGGCCUUAGGGUUGUAAAGCUCUUUCACCGAUGAAGAUAAUGACGGUAGUCGGAGAAGAAGCCCCGGCUAACUUCGUGCCAGCCGCCGCAGUAAGAC